CAGCAGCCACGGUAAUACGGAGGGUGCAAGCGUUAAUCGGAAUUACUGGGCGUAAAGCGCACGCAGGCGGCUUCUUAAGUCGGAUGUGAAAUCCCUGAGCUUAACUUAGGAAUUGCAUUCGAUACUGGGAAGCUAGAGUAUGGGAGAGGAUGGUAGAAUUCCAGGUGUAGCGGUGAAAUGCGUAGAGAUCUGGAGGAAUACCGAUGGCGAAGGCAGCCAUCUGGCCUAAUACUGACGCUGAGGUACGAAAGCAUGGGGAGCAAACAGGAUUAGAUACCCGUGUAGUCCCUGUCUCUUAUAC
rnacentral:rRNA from 1 species